CAAGUGUCGAUAAAACUCGGACGCAAAAAAGAAAAAAAGAGGUAAAUAAAAUAUAGUAGGCAGCGCCAACAACUCACCCAUUCGACUAUCCUUGGAAUCGCCGACCGAGCUAGCUUACGGUUCUCCCAAAUAACUGGGCUUCAGUCUCCUCCGACUGGACUUGGAGUAACCAUGUAACGAACGUCGGCCAACAGCUUCGUCGGAGGAGGCUACAACGACAACUUUUCCUGUCUUGUGUGGUGUUAUUUUAUGCUGCGUGGUGACCGGUCCAUGACUUUGGGUUUCCAGUGAUUAUGCGGCUAAUCUCUCCAACUUAAGUGUUCUGAAGUGUUCUUCGUCUUGACUUCUUCGAAGAGCUAAAAGGAUCCAUGCUGAUGGAGAUGGCAGAAUAUCUCUGCAACAUGCAUUCUUGCUUCAGAAACUUGCACCCAGCAUGAAGCUUCUAGCUCUCUGCCUGGGUCGUUGGAGACACCACAACGAGUAGAGUGAAUAUGUUGUCGGGAUUUUAAUUAUAGGACAUUAGAUAAGGUGUUAGACAAUAAGGCGUUAGUUAAGGUUCUAGUUAAGAUCAUCCUUGUAAAACCUUCAGACUUUUUUGCUAAAAGUUAAAUAUUUGUAUUUGGAUGAAGCUGUAGAUUUUGAAACUUGCUUGAUAUUUAGUUAUGAAACUGAAAAAUUGUUUUUCAGAUGAAAGUGAAGAUUUUGCAACUUGGAUUAUAGGUUAUAGUUAGACAGUCACUGUAAAAUCUUCAGAUGUUAUUAAAGUACAUACUAUUCGGAUUAGGCUGUAAAACUUUCAAAUUUAAUUCGGAAUUGUUUUAGGAGGUAACUGAAGAUUUUGCAAUUUAGAUAGUAGGCUCUUCAAGCGAAAUAUUAGUUAAGGAUAGCUAACCCUGUUUAGGUACUAGUUACCACUGCCAGUAACUCUUAUCAAAACGGAAUGAACUUCUGAUUUUUGCCAGGUUAAUUUGUAUGGUUUCUUUCUUGAUUCAUAAAUAAUUUUCUUUACAUUGCACUGGUUUGUGGUUAGUCUAAAUAAAAUCUGCGUAAUUUGGAAGUUACACUUUAAGCAAUUAUAGUUAAUAUAAAUCUGGUUAACAGUAUUAAUCGUAAAUGCCUAAUUGUGAUGUCCAUUCUGUGCAACUAGGGCUAAUAUAAAUCUAAACUUUAGUUUUAGCCUUCUUUGCAUUAGUAAAGAUUUUAAACUUCAGUUACUAUGUUAAAACUGUUAAAAGGUUGUGUGUAAUGUUAUACUGUAACCAAUCUUAUAGGUUGAAUAUAGUGGGAAUAUUUUCUUAUGAAUUAGAGUACUAGACAUCUACAGGAAUUUAGUCUCAAAUUUUAUUGGAUUGAGCAUUCUCUCAUUAGUCUAAAUUUUGUAAUUUUGAAAUGUUGUAUAUAAGCCCCAUUUAACCUGGCAACCCAGCUUUAUUUCCAGUUUAAGGCAGAUUCAUUGGUCUGAACUUUUACCCUUGUUUACUAUAAGCUCCACUUAAACUGAAACUCCAAAUUUAAUGUUUUAGUUUUAGUGAUUCUUUAGUUUUAGUGAUUCUUUAGUUUUAGAGAACAUUUACCCACUUGACAUGGCUAAAUCUGAAAGUUGAAACUAGUAAGAGGCUUUGUCGACUAAGUGCUGCAUUAUAUUAAUUUUAGAUCUUUUUCUUUGUAAGACGUAAGAAUUUCAGAAGUUCAUUAUUCAAGGAAAUGUUAAUUGAAGAAGUCAAAUAAAAGCAACUAACUAAA